UACGUAUGGUGCAAGCGUUAUCCGGAUUUACUGGGCGUAAAGGGAGCGCAGGCGGCGCGCCAAAUCUGAUGUGAAACCCCGGGGCUCAACCCCGGGCAUGCAUUGGAAACUGGCGGGCUGGAGUGCCGGAGAGGUAAGCGGAAUUCCUAGUGUAGCGGUGAAAUGCGUAGAUAUUAGGAGGAACACCAGUGGCGAAGGCGGCUUACUGGACGGCAACUGACGCUGAGGCUCGAAAGCGUGGGGAGCAAACAGG
rnacentral:rRNA from 1 species